AUACGUAGGGAGCGAGCGUUGUCCGGAAUUACUGGGCGUAAAGGGCGCGUAGGCGGCGCUUCAAGUAGUCUGUCAAAUGGGAGGGCUUAACCCUUUUUCGCAGACGAAACUGGAGAGCUUGAGAAGCAGAGAGGCAAACAGAAUUCCUGGUGUAGCGGUGAAAUGCGUAGAUAUCAGGAAGAAUACCAGUGGCGAAGGCGGUUUGCUGGCUGCAUACUGACGCUGAAGCGCGAAAGCCAGGGGAGCAAAUGGGAUUAGAUACCCCGGUAGUCCUGGCAGUAAACGAUGUAUGCUGGGUGUGAGACUAGCGAUAGUUUCAUGCCGAAGUUAACGCGAUAAGCAUACCGCCUGGGGAGUACGGUCGCAAGAUUGAAACUCAAAGGAAUUGACGGGG
rnacentral:rRNA from 1 species